GAGUUUGAUCCUGGCUCAGAACGAACGCUGGCGGCGUGCUUAAGACAUGCAAGUCGAACGGUAAGGCCCCUUCGGGGGUACACGAGUGGCGCACGGGUGAGUAACACGUGGGUAAUCUACCUUCGGGUCUGGGACAACUCCGGGAAACUGGAGCUAAUACCAGAUGAGACCACGAGGUCCUCGGACUUCGCGGGAAAAGAUGGCCUCUUCUUGAAAGCUAUCGCCUGUAGAUGAGCCCGCGUCCCAUUAGCUAGUUGGUGAGGUAACGGCUCACCAAGGCGACGAUGGGUAGCUGGUCUGAGAGGACGACCAGCCACACUGGAACUGAGACACGGUCCAGACUCCUACGGGAGGCAGCAGUCGGGAAUUUUGGGCAAUGGGCGAAAGCCUGACCCAGCAACGCCGCGUGAGGGAUGAAGGCCCUCGGGUCGUAAACCUCUGUCGGAAGGGAAGAACGAUCGCAAGGUGAAUAAUCUUGGGGUCUGACGGUACCUUCAAAGGAAGCGCCGGCUAACUCCGUGCCAGCAGCCGCGGUAAUACGGAGGGCGCAAGCGUUGUUCGGAAUCAUUGGGCGUAAAGCGCGUGUAGGUGGCUUGGCAAGUCGGGUGUGAAAUCCCGGGGCUCAACCCCGGAACUGCAUUCGAUACUGCCUCGCUAGAGUCCCGGAGAGGAGGGCGGAAUUCCCGGUGUAGAGGUGAAAUUCGUAGAUAUCGGGAGGAACACCAGUGGCGAAGGCGGCCCUCUGGACGGUGACUGACACUGAGAUGCGAAAGCGUGGGGAGCAAACAGGAUUAGAUACCCUGGUAGUCCACGCUGUAAACGUUGGGUGCUAGGUGUCGCGGGUAUUGACCCCUGCGGUGCCGACGCUAACGCAUU
rnacentral:rRNA from 1 species